GGGUUGCACAUGUCCUAAGAAUGUUCAGUGAUUGACAGAAUAUCAGCAUAAUAAGUGAAUCAAGAAUAUGCAGCAGAUUUUUGCGGGUGCGAGUGCUGCCUUGUAGCGGCAUUAGCCUACUCUUUUUCGAAAUCUACAAGGGUGUCUUUAACGUGCAAGAGAUAUGGCUCUCUCUUAACACGGGUCAGCCAUUUAUCGUCCCCUUCCGACGGACUAUCAUCGUUUCCUCAAGACCAUACUCGCAAAUGGUGUCAAGGGAGAGCCGAAAAUCAGUCCCUGAAAUUUUCAUCCUAGACAGGAAUCGAACCAGGAACCUUUGUGUUAGUAGUCCGAUGCACUAAC
rnacentral:lncRNA from 1 species